UUAGUUAUUUGGGACAACAAUAAAGAGGUUCGGUAGGAGAAGUUUCCCAUCCAUGAUCCGCGGUGGUGUCUCUGACGCUCACGGCCAUCACUUUCUUCGUUUUUCUAACCGGUGAGCCUCGUCGGACGGCGAUGGGAAUUCUUCGCCGCCUAUCGGUUCCGCAUCGCAGUCCCAUGGUGACGUUGGCGAUUGUAGCGGUUGGAAACUAGAAACAGAACGUUUUGAGAUUUGGCUUUUGCGUUGAAGAGAGAGAGGAGAACAAAAUGAAUGAGAUUGGGAAUGGAGGAUUGAGCAACGUGGAGAUGGAGCACAUUAGACGACACCACAGGCACGAGCCUGGUGAGAAUCAGUGUGGCUCUGCGCUUGUUAAACAUAUAAGAGCACCGGUUCCUCAGGUAUGGUCCUUGGUGAGGAGGUUUGAUCAACCACAAAAGUACAAGCCAUUUGUGAGUAGAUGUGUUGUAAGGGGAGACCUUGAGAUUGGGAGUCUGAGAGAAGUCGAUGUUAAAUCAGGGCUUCCAGCCACUACUAGUACAGAAAGAUUGGAACUCCUCGAUGACAAUGAGCAUAUUCUCAGCAUCAGGAUUAUUGGUGGUGAUCAUAGACUGAGGAACUACUCCUCUAUCAUGUCUCUACACCCAGAAAUCAUUGAUGGAAGGCCAGGUACACUGGUAAUUGAAUCUUUUGUGGUGGAUAUACCUGAGGGCAACACGAAAGAUGAGACCUGCUACUUCGUGGAGGCCUUAAUAAAAUGCAAUCUCAAAUCACUUGCUGAUGUCUCAGAAGGGCUUGCCGUGCAAGAUCGCACUGAACCAAUUGAUCGGAUGUAGGAGAUUAUGUUCAGAAGUUGCUGAGAACUUGACUGCCAUGGAUGAAGCUUCAGUGGCUUUCCUAUCUCGGAGGCUUAGGAGACUGACUGGCAAAUAUGCUGCUUCCAUUAGUAUAGAGAUGACGAACAUCUGAAGUGAGAGCUGUAGAAGCUCUGUGGAACCCAAGAGGAUUGACCGAUAGGAAAAGAAACGGAAAAACAGAGGGGAGGUGUGGAAAUGAGAAGGAAAAAAAGAAAGAAUUUUUCUUUGGAAGAUAAAUUGGAAAAAUCAAUACAAGAUUUUACAAAUUAGAUCUUCUGUAGUGUUUUCACUAGUACAAUAAAGAGUAAAGACACCGGUUCUAUAUGUUCAUAGGCAUCGGUUCUACAACCGAGGCAUAUGCGGACGAGGUAAAAAGGUUAAGUUUUAUGCUUCGGUUAUCGACCGAGAUAAAACGAAAUAGGAAUAUGCCUCGGUUCUUAGAUAACCGAGGCAAUUGCGUGUGUGUUUUUUUUGGAUUCAGACGGUUCAUUCAUCGUGCUAAGUAAACUCAAGAUUUCCCAAUGCUCAAUAAUCUAAAACAAACAAGAAAACGCUAACAGGAAUCAAUCAAGACACAGUAUUCCAACAAUCAAUAUCUACAACAAUCAAUAUCAAAAAUCUGUACAAAGAAGCAGCAAAUGAGCUCAUACAUAUAAACAAUCAAUGUCAAAAUUACAACCCAGUGAUAAUAGCAAUGAGCAGAAACUCAGAAGCAGAAACUCAGAAGCAGCGAUGAACAUGGACUUAAGCUGAAGCGUUUUAGAUCGAAUUUCUUCCUCUUCGCACAUGGGUUUCUCUGUUCUUCCCCCAACAGAAGCAUCUCCGGCCACCACCAUCUCCCCCACGAAGCUUGCCAGCAUCCACCAUCACUGACUUCCUCUGCUCCCCCUCCGCCGUCCCCACGAAGCUUGCCAUCAUAUCCUCCAUCGUUCCCACCCUCCUCGCCACCGUCACUGACUUCCUCUGCUCCCCCUCCGCCGUCCCCUCGGGUGGUUCUCCGCUCGUCACAGAUCUGCCCUCCGCCCCUCCAUGUGCCCAGAUCUGACCUCUACCCGCUCAGUUCUAACCUCCACCCUCCCAAAUCUGACCUCCACCCGCCCAGAUCUACCCUCCGCGUCCUCGCCGCCGCGUCCUCGCCGCUGCGUCCUCGCUGCCGCUGCGUCCUCGCUGCCGCUGCGUCCACCGUUGGUGCUGCCGCUGCGUCCACCGUUGGUGCUGCCUCGCUGCGUCCACCGUCGUUGCACAUCGCAUGAGAAGGGGAGGAGAAGAGGAGGUCGUCGCGCAGGAGAAGAUUGCAGCAGAAGAGGAGAGGUGUUUUGGGGAAAUGAUUUGGCUACCCAGCUUUUUCACGAUUUAAGUCCAGCCCAAUAUGCCUCGGGCUCUAUGUCAACCGAUGCCAUAUCUGUGUUACGUGAAGAUUAUGCCUCGGUUCACUCUGGGAACCGAACCAGUAUUCUUUUUAGACACCGGUUAUUAAUCAACCGAGGCAUAUAAUGCUUUUUAAAAUUACGAGCCUACCACCGCGUUUCAUAUGCUUCGGUUCAACAAAAACCGAGUCAUAAUGUACGAGUUAAAAAUCCCAUUUUUUACUAGUGUUUGGUCUUUUGGAACUACAAAGCUACAGUUUUAUUUUAGG